rnacentral:lncRNA from 1 species
GAUUAAGAAACAGAGUAAGAGAGAGAAAGAGUGAGAGGAAAGUAAGAGAGAACAAGGAGAGCAUGAGGAGAGAGAGUAAGAGGAGACAGAGAGGAGAGAGGAGAGAGAGGGGGGGGGGGCAAGCAGCCCCUCUUAUGGUGGGCUGUUUCUUGUUGUUGCUAGGUAACUGGGAGGAGUCUAGCCUGAAGGUCAGAAGCUUGGGACAUUGUCUACAUGACUACUAGCCACAGCUUCUCCUGUGGAGGUUGUGGGGGCAGUAACUUCGACAGGAGCCAGGGUUCCAGAAGACAUGAGGGAACGCCUACCGUGUGUGCCAUGUAGGUGAAUUAUCACCGCUGGGUUUCUCCAGGGUUCAGACCUCAGCUGGACUGGAGACCAGCCUGUCUGUGUAUAGCCCAAUGCCCCACAUACAUCCACUGUCAGAGACAUGUUAGCAGGUCUCUGAUAGUUUGGGGAUUACUGCUGCAUUGAAGGUUAUAAAGACAGCUAUGUGUUAGGGGGGCAGCUCAUCAGUUCAAGUGACCCCUGUCCUAGAGAUAACACAACUGCCCCUUCCAAUCCCAUGCCCUAUUUAAAGAAUGCUUAUCUGGAUUUUUUAAAGUUUGUAUUUUAAUUAUAAAUUAAAUUAUAGCUGUGUAUCAUUAUGGGUACAAAAUAUUAUAACACACAAGCACAGCAUAGAAUAAUUAAAUCAAACCAAUUAUUAUCCCUUAUCACCAUCCCUCCCCCCCAUGUACCGCUUGUUCUCCUUCAAAUCCAUGGCCUCUUUCUAAUUGUUACAUGCAUGUUUCUAAAUACUAUCAAGCUAAAAAUGUGUCAUCUUUUAUCAUCUUUUAUUUUUAUCAUCUUUCUUUUCCUGGCUUCCUUCAUCCAUAAUAGUCUCUAGUUCCAUGCUUAUUUUUAUGAAUGGAAAAAUUUCUCUAAAAGGCUAAGUACUAUGCCAUUGUGUAUAUAUCUUUUAUCCAGUCCUCUAUUGAUAGACACCUAGACUUAGCUUUGUGAACAGCACUGCAGGCAGAAAGCACUGAUGGGUAGAUAUCUCUGUGAGUCCAUUGAGUCAAUAUGACAGAAUAGUAUAGUUGCCUCAUAUGGUAGAUGUAGUUUUCAUUUUUGUAAGACUCAUUCACAUUGAUUUCCAUAACAGCUGCACUACUUUACAUCAGCAGUAAAUAGGAGUUCAUUUUGACCUGAAUUCUGAUCAACUAUUUGUCUUUAUCCGUUCCAUUCUGACUAGAAUGAGGUGGGCCCUCAAUGCAUCUUUGAAAUGCAAUUCUCCAGGGGCAUGGGAAGUUGAGAAUUCUUUCAUAUGUUUGUUGACUAUUUGCGUUUCAUAUUUUGAGAAUUGACUGUUUAUUUCAUGAGCCCAGCUAUUGCCUGGGUUGAUUUAUUAUUUAGUUUCUAAUUUUUUUUGUCUGUUGUAGUGCUGUACAGGAUUAUCCUCCAAGCCAAACUGCUCCCAUCUUCAUCACAUCAGCCCAGCUGCUUUCCAAGAGGUCACUCUAGUUGGGCUUGUUGGCAUCCCCCAAGAGGAGAGUGGGGAGGACCACUGGACUCUCCCCUUAGUGUCCACAUGUCCCUCCCAGCCAGCUAUGUAUAAUUCUUCCCCAUUUGCACAGGCCUUAGUGUCACCAGAAGAAGUUAUAUAGGCUAGGUAAGACUAAAAGGACAGGGUUCCAUUCCCAAAGCCAUGGGGAAGUGAAAUGGAAACAACGGUUCUUUGGAAAGUCAGAUGGUGUUUUGCUGGGCAAACACUUUGAAGGAAUGUUUAGCUGAAACAGGCACAAGUAAAAGGAGGCUCUGCUAAAGUGAGCACAUGAAAGGACAUGUGAUGAGGGAUUCUUCCCUAAUGACACGCAUGUAUUGGUCUGCCUUGCAUUGUAUAGUUGAGCUCCAUUUGUUGUGACUCCAUAGAGAGAAAUGCACCGAAAAACUUUUGGUGGUGUGCUGCAGUUCUUGCCAUUUCCUCCAACUUGGGCUGACCAGCAGAGUGAUGUCAGCUGAGACAGACUUGUGUGCUAAGGCAAGACCCGUGGAGGAAAGGUGAUGUUUGGAGGGAGUAUAAAAAGGACUUGACAGACCAUGAUGGGGGCUGAGCUUGGCUUACUUAUAGAGCUAGCUGUAGUAACACUUGUUGGUCUGGUGUCUUUGCUGAUCUUUGUUUUUCUGAGAGAGGUACAGUUGAGAACUUUUCCUGGCGGUCCUCCCUGGUCCCUCCUGCUGACUUGUGCCAAGGCUGAGGCCUGGCUGACUCUGCUAGGUCGUGCUACCACUGCUGAUUCAUGUUUGCUAGCCCAGCUCUACCAGACUGGGCUGCUGGUACAUCCAUGAAGUGUUGACGAGUUGAUCAAACUGCUGUUGCUGACCUGUGACCUGAACUACUGAUUUCCAGACAACACAGAUGGGAGUUGCUUCAAGGAACCUUUCUAAUCAGAUCUACUUCCCCCAUAUCCUUUCUUUUCUACUACCUCUGGUGAGUAGUGUGUUAAAAGGGAGGAUACAAGGUUUAAGAGCCGUCAUUAAAAAAAUAGGCAUUGAAAAAAUUAAAGUUACAGGGAAGUUAUCCUUGCUGGAUACAGUCUUACCAGGGUGGCUUGCUUUAAAUCCACCCAUGCUCCUGGCAGUCAGCCCUUAUCUAGGCUUGUAAGGGAGACUAAAAACUCAUUAGCUCCCCAGGAGGGAACUUGGUGAAACUGAACUUUGGUUUGUCAUUGGGACCUAGGCUUGAAGUGUAGGCUUAGAUUUUUUUUUAAACCUACUUUUUGCUACAUGUAGUUUUAAAAUGCUACUGCCUCUGCCCAGGAUCGGCCUUAGCCUCUCCUGGCUCCCCUUUCUACCUGCUUUAGCUCCAGCAGGUGACCAUGCUACCAGCCCCCACCUGAGAUCCUUGAAUCCUUGGAUAAAAGACAUACACACACAGUUAACUCCAUUAUUAUUUGCUCUUGCCCGAGCUAAUAUCUCGCCGGCAAGAAUUCACUCGGACAACCGGAUCCUUCUACGGCAAAGCUUUUAUUGCUUCAACAUAAGGAAGACCCCGAACCCGGAAAAUGGCGCUGCUUAUAUAGCCCGAAGCGUGACGUUUCAGCACCUGAUGUGGCGUGACAGCACCUGAUUAGUUGCUCGCCCAUCACCCCAUUACUAUGCCCCGAGAUGGGCAGUGACUGGGCGUGAAUUUACUCUUGCACUUGCGCAUAAGGCUUGUUUACUAGUUAGGAGCAGUGGAAGCCAGCGCCAUCUUAUAAUGGCGAUUGCUCACGGCACGGCUCUCCACAAUUUGCCUUCUUGGAACAAUUGAUGGGUUUUACUAUCUCCUGCCUGGAAAAGUGUGCCAUUACUAACUUAUUAUCUCCAUCUCUCCAUCUGUCCCAAACUUAGUGGCUAGUCCCACCUAGACCCUGCCAAACAUCCUUGGCCACCCACCUGUAGUAGAGGCCACAGGCCCAAGCUCCCCCCUCUGCCACCAAGACCUUAUAUGAUUGUUUUAUUCUCCUUCCUCCAAAGCCUGGCAGAAAAGCACUCUCUCUCUUUCCUGUUGCUCCUUCUUCUCCUGAGACCCAGAAGUCCCAUCUGUACCUUCUGUCCAGCAAUUGACUCCCAACUUUCUUUACUGAUAAAUCAAGAAUUAACUGGGGAAUAAGACCUUAUUAUCAGAACUGCCUCCUUCAACUAUUGAUAAAGGUUCUCAAAGGCUUUGACCCUGCUUCUAGCCCAUCAUUCAAAGGUAGAGGAGAAAAGAUGAUAAAUAGGACAAGGGAAUGUGGACCUGUUUAGAAAUAGUUCUUUGGGGGCAAUUCCAAUCUCUGCCAGCAGUCCAGUUCAUUAGUGUCAGGAUAGCAAACACGAAUCAGCAUUGUUUGCAUUAUCUAACAGAAACGACCAAGCCUCCACCAAAUCGGCACCAAUCAGCUUGGAUCCCAGAAGUUCUCUGCCCUCCCUCUCUCAAUGAAGCAAAGCCACAAGAUCAACAAAGCAUUGCAAAGCUAGCUAUGCAAGCAUGCCAUCACUGUCCAUUGAGUCCUGUUUACAUUACAUAUCCUCCCACGGGUCUUGCCUC